GCGGCCCGAGGCGGCCGGGGGCGACGGGCGGAACUUAAGCAU
rnacentral:rRNA from 1 species